rnacentral:rRNA from 1 species
UGUCUCAAAGAUUAAGCCAUGCAUGUCUAAGUAUAAGCAAUUAUACCGUGAAACUGCGAAUGGCUCAUUAAAUCAGUUAUCGUUUAUUUGAUAGUACCUUACUACUUGGAUAACCGUGGUAAUUCUAGAGCUAAUACAUGCUAAAAACCCCGACUUCGGGAGGGGUGUAUUUAUUAGAUAAAAAACCAAUGCCCUUCGGGGCUCCUUGGUGAAUCAUAAUAACUUAACGGAUCGCAUGGCCUUGCGCCGGCGACGGUUCAUUCAAAUUUCUGCCCUAUCAACUUUCGAUUGUAGGGUAUUGGCCUACAAUGGUAUCAACGGGUAACGGGGAAUUAGGGUUCGAUUCCGGAGAGGGAGCCUGAGAAACGGCUACCACAUCCAAGGAAGGCAGCAGGCGCGCAAAUUACCCAAUCCCGACACGGGGAGGUAGUGACAAUAAAAUACUGAUACAGGGCUCUUUUGGGUCUUGUAAUUGGAAUGAGUACAAUUUAAAUCCCUUUAACGAGGAACAAUUGGAGGGCAAGUCUGGUGCCAGCAGCCGCGGUAAUUCCAGCUCCAUAGCGUAUAUUAAAGUUGUUGCAGUUAAAAGCUCGUAGUUGACCUUGG